AGGACGAACGCUGGCGGCGUGCUUAACACAUGCAAGUGGAGCGACGAACCAGGGCUUGCCCUGGGGCAGAGCCGCGAACGGGUGAGUAACACGUGGGUUACCUGCCUCGAUGACCGGGACAACCCGAGGAAACUCGGGCUAAUACCGGAUGUGCCCGCAAGGGGAAAGGAAGCUUCGGCCUCCGCAUCGAGAUGGGCCCGCGGCCCAUUAGCUUGUUGGUGAGGUAACGGCUCACCAAGGCUUCGAUGGGUAGCUGGUCUGAGAGGACGAUCAGCCACACUGGGACUGAGACACGGCCCAGACUCCUACGGGAGGCAGCAGUGGGGAAUCUUGCGCAAUGCGCGAAAGCGUGACGCAGCAACGCCGCGUGGGGGAAGAAGGCUUUCGGGUUGUAAACCCUUUCAGUUGGGACGAAGCUUCUCCGGUGAAUAGCCGGAUGGAGUGACGGUACCUUCACAAGAAGCACCGGCUAACUACGUGCCAGCAGCCGCGGU
rnacentral:rRNA from 1 species